rnacentral:misc_RNA from 1 species
AAAAGUAUCAACCCGGAUGAGGCCGUUGCUUAUGGUGCUGCUGUUCAGGCUGCAAUUCUAAGUGGGGAAGGAGACGAGAAGGUUCAAGAUCUUCUACUCCUGGACGUCACACCUCUGAGUCUGGGUCUAGAGACGGCGGGCGGGGUGAUGACAGUUCUAAUUCCAAGGAACACAACAAUCCCAACAAAGAAAGAACAAAUAUUCUCAACAUACUCAGACAACCAACCGGGAGUUUUAAUCCAAGUAUACGAAGGAGAGCGAGCAAGAACCAAAGACAACAACCUACUGGGAAAAUUCGAGCUCACCGGCAUUCCUCCAGCACCAAGAGGCGUCCCGCAGAUCAAUGUGGUGUUCGACAUCGACGCCAACGGCAUCCUAAACGUAUCGGCAGAGGACAAAACUGCAGGAGUAAAGAACAAGAUCACAAUCACCAACGACAAGGGGCG